rnacentral:miRNA from 1 species
UGAAAGACGUUCUAUAUCUCU